UCCGGUUUGGCACCGGCAGUCCCCCGAGAGUCCUCGCCAUUACGCGUUAGCAACACGGGGCGGGGGUUGCGCUCGUUGCGGGACUUAACCCAACAUCUCACGACACGGGCUGACGACAGCCAUGCAGCACCUGUGCACGAGCUCCGAAGAGGGGCCACUGUUUCCAGCGGCUUUCCCGUGCAUGUCAAGCCUAGGUAAGGUUCUGCGCGUUGCGUCGAAUUAAACCACAUGCUCCACCGCUUGUGCGGGCCCCCGUCAAUUCCCUUGAGUUUCAGUCUUGCGACCGUACUCCCCAGGCGGAAUGCUUAAUGUGUUAACUUCGGCACCAAGGGUAUCGAAACCCCUAACACCUAGCAUUCAUCGUUUACGGCGUGGACUAC
rnacentral:misc_RNA from 1 species